ACGGUGAGUAACACGUAUCCAACCUGCCGUCUACUCUUGGCCAGCCUUCUGAAAGGAAGAUUAAUCCAGGAUGGCAUCAUGAGUUCACAUGUCCGCAUGAUUAAAGGUAUUUUCCGGUAGACGAUGGGGAUGCGUUCCAUUAGAUAGUAGGCGGGGUAACGGCCCACCUAGUCUUCGAUGGAUAGGGGUUCUGAGAGGAAGGUCCCCCACAUUGGAACUGAGACACGGUCCAA
rnacentral:rRNA from 1 species